AGUAGUUGUUGCAAUGACAGAAGGAUAUAAAACAGAGAAGACUUGGAAGUCUUUCAUCUGAACAACUGAUGCAGAUUACAACAGGUGCAAUUGCACAGUGGGAGGAAAGAAGAAAAUGAGAUGCAUCCUUAAAAAAACACUAUCCAGAAGUGACAGAUUAAGCUACUUGAAAUGAAGGCAAUGGAGCGAUGCAGAUGCCGUGAAGAUUAUCCGUAAAGGCGGUCAAAUCGAACGGUCUGGCACUGGCUCUUACCGCCCAGGGGAAGCUUCUCCAGGAAAAGGCGGUAGUUGCUCUGCAUUAAUACACUCCGGGGAGCCUGUUCCUCUCGAGGUGCCGUAGCGUGGAUCCGCAGAUCAUUCAAAAGCAUAUCCAGCCACAUCGCUGGUGGUGUCCCACAGCUGCACUUGGAAAUGGUCAGGCAUCGUAUACCGCUGAAGCGUACUGGAUUGAGUUGUUGCUGUACCUGCAGGACCAGGGAAGGUCGCCGUGUGCUGGUGGGGCUGAGCGCAGUCCGGCUGGAGGAGCGGUACUUCACUCGAGGAAACACAUCCCGGUGGCUUAUACAGCAGGAGCAGUGACCCUUGCUUUAUUUCUGCAGAGCAAGAUGGGAGGUGUUCUUGCUUCUGGCUCACUCCAGCCCUUUGACAGGCUCAAGGUCAUUUUGGAGUCCUCCGCUCCUGCUGAAUUGUUUCAGGAAUGUCUACGCCCAGA